AAUAUGUAGUAAAACGUACAUAGGUAACAUGGACAUUAAUAAGUGCUAAUCAUAAAGGAUUAAUUAUUAAUGAUGAUAUUUGUACAAUUUCUCUGGUUUUUACUAUUGAUACCUAGAAAGGAAGCGGUGUAUGUCGGAAAGACGAAUAUUUAUAUGAGAUACAAAAUAGUUAAUUUGGAUAAAGAACUCACAUUUGACGCUAUUAUGAAUGUACGUAGAAUCCAACACUUCAUUGAGGCGUAUACUGAUGAUGAUGGCUUCUUCUUGGGACGAUUGGUAUAUAAAAUUCGUACUAAAUAUACAAGAAUGGUACGAUUAUACAUGCUGUCGUAUCACAACUUUGAAGACUAUCACCACAAUAAGCACAUUUUUCAUUUAAUGGAAAUUCAACACAUAUCCAUGGAGGUCGAUAGUUUAGUUGAAGUAAUAUUAAAUUUCUUAUGGCCGGGAAAACCAAAACGGCGGCCAAUUGAUAAGCGCCAACGACCUGGGGUUAAAUUACCAAAAAGCGUACCAAACAAAUUAAUUGGCGCACGCAAUGGCAGAGUACUUACAACUCGUGGAAAAUCUGUACUAUUUCAAGGUAAUCAUAAAAACUAUGAUCAAGCCAUUGUGAAACUUAACAUAGCUGGAAAAGAUCGUGUCGAUUGGAGGAAUACUGAAAAUAAUGGUGGUGGAUUUGAGUCCGAAGUCUACUAAUAUACAAUUAUGUACAUCGCGUCAUUAUUAUAAUUUACAUGUGCAUAGAAUAUUGGUGAUAAUAGAAUAAAUCUCUACACUAUCUGUUUUAAUUUUGAACUUCUAGAUACAAGGAGCACAAUAUUUGAUGACGGAUUUAUAACUAUGUAUAUAAAAUACGA